CCUACGGGUGGCAGCAGUGGGGAAUAUUGGACAAUGGGCGAAAGCCUGAUCCAGCCAUGCCGCGUGUGUGAAGAAGGCCUUCGGGUUGUAAAGCACUUUCAGUGGGGAAGAAAGCCUUGGGGCUAAUACCCUCGAGGAAGGACAUCACCCACAGAAGAAGCACCGGCUAACUCCGUGCCAGCAGCCGCGGUAAUACGGAGGGUGCGAGCGUUAAUCGGAAUUACUGGGCGUAAAGCGCGCGUAGGCGGUCUGAUAAGCCGGUUGUGAAAGCCCCGGGCUCAACCUGGGAACGGCAUCCGGAACUGUCGGGCUAGAGUGCAGGGGAGGAAGGUAGAAAGCCCGGUGUAGGAGGGAAAUGCGUAGAGAUCGGGAGGAAUACCAGUGGCGAAGGCGGCCUUCUGGACUGACACUGACGCUGAGGUGCGAAAGCGUGUGUAGCGAACAGGAUUAGAGACCCCAGUAGUC
rnacentral:rRNA from 1 species